GGCGAACGCUGGCGGCGUGCCUAAAACAUGCAAGUCGAACGCGAGGGCCCUUCGGGGCCUGGGAGUGGCGAACGGCGGAGUAAUACGUAAGCAACGUGCCCUAAAGCUCGGGAUAUACCGGGGAAACCCGGGGCAAUACCGGAUGUGGUCGGAGCCCGGCAUCGGGAGCCGAUUAAAUGGUUUUUCGCUUUAGGAGCGGCUUACGGCCUAUCAGCUAGUUGGUGGGUAACGGCCUACCAAGGCAUCGACGGGUAACUGGUCUGAGAGGACGACCAGUCCGAGUGGGACUGAGACACGGCCCACACACCUACGGGUGGCAGCAGUUGGGAAUCUUGCACAAUGGGGGCAACCCUGAUGCAGCGACGCCGCGUGGAGGACGAAGGAUCUAGGUCUGUAAACUCCUUUUGCCAGGAAAGACUUAGGACGGUACCUGGCGAAUAAAGCUCCGGCUAACUACGUGCCAGCAGCCGCGGUAAUACGUAGGGAGCAAGCGUUGUCCGGAUUUACUGGGCGUAAAGGGCGCGUAGGCGGCCUGCC
rnacentral:rRNA from 1 species